rnacentral:rRNA from 1 species
AUGAAUGAUCGAUGCAAGUGGCACGUCGGAGAUGACCUAGGUGAAAUGUAUGUGGUGAUCAUGUCAUGUACAGUGGCCGGGGUACACAUGUGCAGAUGUCUGAAUUUGGCAAGUUUGGCACUACUACUAGUUCACUCUGCUGCAGACCUUCCUGAUCUCCCCGGGCGGCCCCGUGAGCACGUCGGCGUAGCCCAUCUUCACCAUGGCGUCCGCGAACUUCUGCGACCACAGCUUCCGGUUGGCGGCGUACUGGCCGACGAGCGCCGCCGUGUCGCUCCGGUCGAGCAGCGCCUGGUCGGAGUUGAAGAGCACCUCGUUGGUGCCGAUGUUCUUGUAGUACUGGUUGUCGAGCUGGAGCGGCGUCUUGGCGUCCAGCUGCACGACGCGGUCGAGCCGCCCCGUCGCCGCCGGGCACUUGCCGGCGCGGAGGGCCUUGGCGAGCGUGUUGUUGAGCGUCGGGUCGAUCUGCGGGUAGAGGCGGCUGGAGAAGGAGGAGCAGUGGGAGCGGCCGAUGGAGUGGGCCCCGGAGAGCGUGACCAUCUCGUCGGCGGUGAGGUUCUUGGACGCGAAGCGGGUGAUGAGCUGGGUGAGGUUGAAGUUGGCGGGGGGCAGGUUGGCGAGCGCCUCGGUGGCGUUGGAGACGCGGCCGUCGAGGCGGCCGGAGGGCAUGGCGAAGACUAUGCCGCCCAUGAUGCGGGAGGCGUCGCGGGCGGCGAAGGCGACGAUGUCGGCGCAGGAGACGACGCCCGGGCAGCGGCGCUCCACGACGCGCUUGGCGCGGUCGAUGACGCCGAAGCCGCGGAGGCUGGGGAAGUUGGGCGCCGCCGUCUUCUCCACCGUACGGUUGCCCGGGCUGCCCGUCGGGUCGUCCAGCAGCACCGACGCGUCGCAGCCCUGCACGAAAGCACCAAUGGGAAUGCAGCUACAUUAGCGUCGUAA